CUUCUUUAGUGGUGUUGAGAUAAUUCCAUAUUCAGAAUCUGCAUGCAAAACUGAGCCGAAAUCCAAAUUUUCAUGAAUUUUGGUGCCCGGGAACCUAUUUAAAAAUCAGUUUGAAGUUUGUAUGGGAGCGAUUUGUCGAAUCACCCCUCGUCGCAUUUUAUACUGGAUGGAGCUGUCAAGCAGUUGGCCAGCUGUCAAAAGGUGCUUUCAAAAAAUCUAUUCGAAAUCGAUUUUAGGUACCAAAAUGAAGUUCUAAAAAUCUGAAAAAAAUCAUGGUGGUUCAGAAAAAGGUGCUCUUUCGUAUAAAAUCAUAAAAUCAAUACAUUUUUCUUAACUUAAAAACCCAAUUGUGAAAAAAAAUCCGCCGGAAAGUCCCUGUCGGAUGUAGGGCAUCGGCAGCGAAAGCAGUACGUGCGAAAAAAUUUUCUGCCUAGUUGUGAAGAAGAUCGGCGGUGCCAAGUGGAGACAAAUAACCGGUUUUAGAAGUAGGUACAUCCGUACGAGUACCGGUAUUAGAACAACUUCCGUAACCACAAGUGCAAUAUCCGCAAGACCCUAAAGAAGGGUCAAGGAAAAUAAUAAAUUUCUAAUCCGGCUGGCCGGUCGUCGUAAGGGAGCUGUAGGCCCUCAAGUCGGGACUGCAACUGGAUGGCCGAUUCGGAGGUCCACCAAUAGGUCCGAUGUCGAUGAUGCCUUGGCCAAUGCCACACAUGCGGGAAACGGUGAUGUCUCCACAUAUGCGAUUCCCUCUGAUGCGGCGCAACCCGAAUGGAAAGUUGCCUCCGGGCCGAAUGAAAAGUUCGGUCAAAUUCUUGACAUCAUCGCCUCGUCUUCAAGAAAAUCGCAAGAGCCACAAACGCAACGCGAACCAUGCAACCUUCCCGUUCUAUGAACUACGAUUGCGCAUCAACCAGCUGGACAGCGACAGACCAAGAUCGACAGUGACCAAAGUGAUUGCCAAAACAAAUGAACAGCCGAAGGGCAUCCAAGCCGGUCCACCCGUAGGACAAGAAAUCUUGAAAGAAGAAUUCCGAUGCCGAUGAAGCGGCCAGUACUAUGGUGCCCAACCGGCAUGAUAUGCAUUUGUGGAAUUUGCAACGGGGCCGCCUGCGAUGCAACAGGGCUUCACGUUUACGCUGACGCAUGCGAUGAAAAUCUCGAUCAUCGAGAAGUAGGAAGGAGGCUUUAGAAUAAGUAUUUUAAACGUACGUAUUGAAGAAAUGGUAUGCAUGGGACAGUACAUUAUGUAGGGUGACUAAGGGUAUUAUCGGCAUGUUUGUUUUCUUCAUCAAGGGGGGUUUUUGCAGGCCAAAUUUCUUGAAACUUGAUUGUACAAUUCAGCUUGGUUAGGAAGAUUUGACGCCAACUUUGAGUUUAAUCGAUAUAAAAAGAUGACGAAGAAAUCAAAUUUGCCGGGAAUACGUCACUUUCCCUAUUUGGAUUCAAAAAACCAUGAAUAAUUGCA